AGCGACACAGAGCCGGGGGAAGGAAGAUGAGCUUGAGCUGGAGUGCCUGUGCUGCAAGGAGCAGAAGGAAUUCAGCCUUCAGUCAGGGUUUCUGAAGUGUGUGUUGGUGUUCCCUGGGAAAUGCAGACAUUUGGGGAAGUGCCUUUGGAGGAGAGGAGCUUGAUUCUCAAGGCAACUGCUUCCCCAGGAGCCCCCAGUGAGCCAAGGGUGGCAGCAGCUACAGCUCCAUUCUCCUGAGCUCACAGCGCAGCGCAGCUGUUCCAGCCACACCAGCACGGGACUGGCCGCAGGUUGUACAGCCCAUGCCUGAGCCAGGAUCAGAGCGCGUUUCCUCUCAGGUAAUGGGAGCCCCACGCUCUUCCACAGGAGAAUGAAUGUGAAGAAUGCCAGAGCAAAUUCAAGUCUCUUGAGCCUGGUGAAGAUGAAAUCUGCUUCUGUCCUUGUAUAGAGCUAUGGGUUUGUUUACGUGGCUUCUCCUUCCCUUUUCUGCCUGGGCUUUCUCACCUGCAGUUUUCAGUAGAAAAGUGAAGCCAUAGGUGGAAUAAAUAGACUCCACCACCUGAUGUAGUUAUGAAGUGGGUCUGUAUUGUCAGCAAACGGCACAAGCGAGAUAGUUCUCCUGGAAACUUGUGCCUUGAGCCCUGGUCUGAGCCCCAUCUUUUACUCACAAAGGUGCUCCAUAUAGAUGACGUUGCUCAACCUUUUAAUGCAUAUUCAACCCCUGGCCCCGCCUGUCCUCGCCUGGCGUGAUAAUUAGAUCCACGCCCUUCUGAGCAUGCCUUGUUCAUGGUGGGGGUCACAUGGGAGUCUUUGGUGGUCUCUGAGGCCGAAGAUUCUGGUCAUCCUUAUGGCUGAACCUUUGAACUUUUCUCCUUUGCGCGUGUGCUUUGGUCCCUUGGUGCUUAUCUGAGUACGUCUGUCGGUCUUGAUGAGCUUGGAGACCGAGGAGCCCCUUUAUCUGGGUUUCUGCAUCCUUGGUCUUCUCCCAGUAUUGUUCUUUAUGCAAAAAAGCUUCUGAAAUUUGCAUUUUUCUAUUCUUUUUGUACUAUGACAGAGGUUUCUUAGGUAAAAGGUUAAAAUUCAACACAUAAUUCUGCAAGCUAAAAUUUAAAUGCUUAAUUCAUAUUGCUAACUCAAGGGAGCUCCAAAAAUCUCUCUUUCAAAAGAAACAAACCUUUGAAAGGUUAAACCUCAAGAUAACUGUGAUCCUCAAUCAAUACCUCCUUCUUCCACUUGCUUAAAAUCUCUUUGUCCUGGGCACUCACUAUGGCCUUUUUCCUGGAAGCUCUCUGGCUGUCUUGAAUGCUUAUGGAGUAAAAGGUAAUCCCUGAUCUAUUUUCGACUCUGCCCAGACAGAGACUGCUGGAAUGGAGGUAGGACUGGUACUGGGGACCUGGCAGCUUCUCCAGGAAGAAAAAUUAUUGAAAUAAUGGUAAUGUGGACAAGGCAUGCAAGUCCAGGUGGUGAGCUGAAAUAUGCAAGUACUUGCGGUUUCCCCUCAGCACUUGACAGUUUAGGGGUAUGGUCUCUUCUUAUUUCUGUCUCUUAAUCCUCAAUCCUUGCCACACUCCUUCAACAUCUUUUGCAUUGUCAUCUUCCCUGAUUUCUCCCUCCCUUCUUCUUUCUGUGACUUUCUGUACACGACAGACAAUCUGUCAUACACUGCCAGUUUGCACAGUCACUCGAGCAGUGAUAAUGAUGGUGUAGAAAUUGUAGGUGCACAGUAGGCAAAGGUGUCAUGCUUCUGUGUGCCCUCUGCAGGCAAACCUGCUUCCCAAAGCUUCAGUCACACUUGGAACAAAGGCUUGUCCCCACUGCUUUGUUGUGGUUUAUGCAUUGAUGGAGCAACACUUCUGUCUCAGCCCGCUUAAGCCACUGCAAAGCUGGAAUUGUUGCUUUAGCAGCAGAUGUGCUGGCAGGGUUCUUACAGCUCCAUAGUAAGAACCCUGCAGCUCUUCUAGAAGAGGUUUGUGAUCUUUGUGCAAUAAAAACAGUGCCUUCAACUGCUGCAGUGCAAGUCAUGCACUCAUGUAGAUGUGUUUUCAGACACAGGUAUUUCUAUAUAUGCCUAGUGAGUGGCCUCGUGGGGAGCAGGGACAAACAAGGAAGGAAAGUGGGCUCACAAAACAUGCUUCUGCUUCAACAAAAUACCAUGACUUCCCUUUACAGAGAAGGAUAUAAACUUUUUCUUAAAGGGAAUAAACAAGUCUCUCUAUGUCCUGAUCUUUUACUAGCUUGAAAUUGGUCAGAAAGGUUGUAAUUUUUUUUUUUUUCCUCGUGGUGGUGGGGGGUGGGGUCUGCAUUUCAAGCCUGUUCUCCCAGCAGUCAGGGACCUGCACAGCUGCUGUGGGUGGGGCAGGUGCUCAGGUAAUUACCAACAGCUGCUUGGUAAUUACUGACAGCCAGGUGAGAAAUUGGCUUGUGCCUGGUUGAGGGCUUGAGGACUGUGGUGAGAGGAGGAAUAGGGAGUGGAGUGGAAAAUACCAUUUACACAAGCAGGUAUAGGUGGAUGUCUGGGGUGUAGGUGGGAGUUAACUGGUUUAGGUACUGCAUUUAUGAAAAAUUGAACAUUUAACUCUGAGAUAGGACUAUUUAGUUGCUACUCUAAAUGCUGCAUUUACUAACAUGGAAUGUAGUUUCUUUGUGUUUUGCUCAGAGAGUGUCUCAAAAACAUUGAAGUCUAAUUAUAGUCAUCAUAAACACAAGUUAAUAUCUUACUUUUUGUUGCAAACAGAAGCUGAAAGGGCCAAUGGAUCUUGCAUUCAGUAAUGUACACAUUUUAAAAGAAGUGGCUCUCUCCUGUUCCUGUGGCUAGCUGGUCUCUUCAGGUUACACAAACAUUUCUGGGAGCAUUUCCUUGCUGUUCAAAUAUCUCUAUCCCCUUAGAAUCUGAUGCAAAUAUUAUAUGUUUCUAAAAUUAUCUCUAGGCCCUUUCAUUUUCUAAUCUGCACCUGUCACCUAGGGGAAAAACCAAUCUGAUAAGGUUUUAUUUUUUGUAGCCUCUCAAAUUGCAGCCCAUUGUAUUUAGCUGCAAAAUCCUAAAUCAUGCUAUCAGGAUACCUGAAAUGGAUGCUGGUAGAGAGUAAAAAAACAAUGCCUGAUACAGAUGCUAUCAACUAUUUUUAGUUCCUGACAAUCCAGUAUUGCCCUUACCCAAGGGCUGUUCUUGUUUUUUUCUCUUUUUCUCAGCUGUCAGUUCUGUGAGGGCUGAGAAACAAAAAUCCCAAGUAAGGGUAUCCAGAGUAGAUGGACAUUAUGAGAAUUCGGGGCAAAUUUGACCAUGCACUGAUCUGUAGGAUUGCCCUCCUCCGUGGAAGAUUGUAGUGGUGUGAUUGCAAUCAUUUCUGCUGGUCAGUGUUUUUAGUGUUAACACAGCUCCCCAGGGAGCCAGCCAGGUUUUAUGACUCUCUUUGGAACUGAAAGAAAAAGAGAAGAAAAAGUGUCUGUGGUGUUUGCCUGCAGCAGUUCCACAUGCUAUUGGUGGCAUGUAACAACUAGAUUCCACACCUAGGAACUGCUUGUGCUGCAGUCUGAAGUGUGCUAGCUGUGAGAGCUGCUUCUGGAGAAAGAGAAAUGAGUUGUUGAAGUCCUUGAAAUGUUCUGUUUUCAUCCUUAUGCAAGAUAGUGAGGAAUGCCUUCUUUUCAUCCCUUAGUAUUUUGCAUACAGGAUUCCCCUGGGAUGGAAGAACUUGAAGCAUUUCAAGUCUGCAGCUUCAGGAAUGAAAUAAACUUUUGACUCAAGCUGUCAACCUGAAUAAACUCUUAAAUACCCCACAGCAAUUGCAAGUUAUAGCUAGUAACAAUGGAAUAAAAAUACAAUUGCCCUUUUUGCUCUUAGCAUUUUCUCCCUGGUCCUAUAAAAUUUGGGUUUGUGCCUUCUUCCUUAGUUUGCUUUCCAAACCAUUGCAUGUCCUCAAUAAAUCUGGAGAACUGUC